AGGAGAUAGGAGAGUAUGAGAAGGCAGCUAUGGACAAAAUAGCAUACAUUCUCAAGAUGACGGAAAAGAAUGAGGCGCUAAAGAUGGUGUUCCUGGAGAGCAUCUGCACCAUCUGCAGAGGCGACGAUAACACGGGCUUGUGUGACAGAGUGGCUCUUUUCUGCCGUGAAAAUAACUUGGCGGAGAAAGUCAAGGUGAGGGGACAAUAGAGGGGGUUGUGGGAGGGGGCAGAGCCACCCAGGGACUGGCACCCUGAGAGGCAGGGGUGGGCAGGGGGACUGUGGGUACCGCUGAGAUCUCAGCAGUGGGACGCAGGGUGCCUCUGCGUUCUGGUGCUGGGCGGGGGUCACUGGGGCUCCUCUGGCCCCGCUGACCAGCGUGAGGUCCCAUCCCAUUUCUGCUCUGCAGGAGCUGCUGGAGAAUGAGCCCGUGGACCAGCUGUGCACUGCAGUGCGGUACCAAGCCAUGCUUGCGAUCGCCGCCUUGAGGUACAAACCCAGCCCCUGGUUUUGCCACUGCACCCCCAGGGUACGAUCCUGGGUGCCCCGACCGUAGCCGGGAAGCAUCCCCCACGUGGGCAGGGAGGCCCUCAGCUCUCCCCUGCUCUGGGCUUCUCCAGAGGGGGGAGGAAGCCCUGAAGCUCCCUGCAGGGUCUCUGAGCCUGCCCCAAUCAUCAGGAGGCACCUUUCCUCUGGCCAGGGAAGCCCCGUGGAGGAGGUGCCUUCCAGCAGGGCUCCACGUCCCUCCCAGGGAGCCCUGCCCAGGGCAGGACUUGUUCCACCCCUGUCUCAGCACCCA
rnacentral:lncRNA from 1 species